CAGUCGCCGCGGUAACACAGAGGGUGCGAGCGUUAAUCGGAUUUACUGGGCGUAAAGCGUGCGUAGGCGGCUUCUUAAGUCGGAUGUGAAAUCUCUGAGCUUAACUUAGGAAUUGCAUUCGAUACUGGGAAGCUAGAGUAUGGGAGAGGAUGGUAGAAUUCCAGGUGUAGCGGUGAAAUGCGUAGAGAUCUGGAGGAAUACCGAUGGCGAAGGCAGCCAUCUGGCCUAAUACUGACGCUGAGGUACGAAAGCAUGGGGAGCAAACAGGAUUAGAUACCCGAGUAGUCCCUGUCUCUUAUAC
rnacentral:rRNA from 1 species